rnacentral:rRNA from 1 species
UACGUAGGGUGCGAGCGUUGUCCGGAAUUAUUGGGCGUAAAGAGCUCGUAGGCGGUGUGUCGCGUCGGCCGUGAAAACCUGCAGCUUAACUGUGGGCUUGCGGUCGAUACGGGCAUCACUGGAGUUCGGCAGGGGAGACUGGAAUUCCUGGUGUAGCGGUGAAAUGCGCAGAUAUCAGGAGGAACACCGGUGGCGAAGGCGGGUCUCUGGGCCGAUACUGAUGCUGAGGAGCGAAAGCGUGGGGAGCGAACAGG